rnacentral:tRNA from 1 species
GCCUGGCUGGCUCAGUCAGUAGAGCACGUGAAUCUUGAUCUCAGGGUUGUGAGUUCAAGUCCCACAUUGGGCA